rnacentral:rRNA from 1 species
GAUGAACGCUGGCGGCGUGCCUAAUACAUGCAAGUCGAGCGAACGGACGAGAAGCUUGCUUCUCUGAUGUUAGCGGCGGACGGGUGAGUAACACGUGGAUAACCUACCUAUAAGACUGGGAUAACUUCGGGAAACCGGAGCUAAUACCGGAUAAUAUUUUGAACCGCAUGGUUCAAAAGUGAAAGACGGUCUUGCUGUCACUUAUAGAUGGAUCCGCGCUGCAUUAGCUAGUUGGUAAGGUAACGGCUUACCAAGGCAACGAUGCAUAGCCGACCUGAGAGGGUGAUCGGCCACACUGGAACUGAGACACGGUCCAGACUCCUACGGGAGGCAGCAGUAGGGAAUCUUCCGCAAUGGGCGAAAGCCUGACGGAGCAACGCCGCGUGAGUGAUGAAGGUCUUCGGAUCGUAAAACUCUGUUAUUAGGGAAGAACAUAUGUGUAAGUAACUGUGCACAUCUUGACGGUACCUAAUCAGAAAGCCACGGCUAACUACGUGCCAGCAGCCGCGGUAAUACGUAGGUGGCAAGCGUUAUCCGGAAUUUAUGGGCGUAAAGCGCGCGUAGGCGGUUUUUUAGUCUGAUGUGAAAGCCCACGGCUCAACCGUGGAGGGUCAUUGGAAACUGGAAAACUUGAGUGCAGAAGAGGAAAGUGGAAUUCCAUGUGUAGCGGUGAAAUGCACAGAGAUAUGGAGGAACACCAGUGGCGAAGGCGACUUUCUGGUCUGUAACUGACGCUGAUGUGCGAAAGCGUGGGGAUCAAACAGGAUUAGAUACCCUGGUAGUCCACGCCGUAAACGAUGAGUGCUAAGUGUUAGGGGGUUUCCGCCCCUUAGUGCUGCAGCUAACGCAUUAAGCACUCCGCCUGGGGAGUACGACCGCAAGGUUGAAACUCAAAGGAAUUGACGGGGACCCGCACAAGCGGUGGAGCAUGUGGUUUAAUUCGAAGCAACGCGAAGAACCUUACCAAAUCUUGACAUCCUUUGACAACUCUAGAGAUAGAGCCUUCCCCUUCGGGGGACAAAGUGACAGGUGGUGCAUGGUUGUCGUCAGCUCGUGUCGUGAGAUGUUGGGUUAAGUCCCGCAACGAGCGCAACCCUUAAGCUUAGUUGCCAUCAUUAAGUUGGGCACUCUAAGUUGACUGCCGGUGACAAACCGGAGGAAGGUGGGGAUGACGUCAAAUCAUCAUGCCCCUUAUGAUUUGGGCUACACACGUGCUACAAUGGACAAUACAAAGGGCAGCGAAACCGCGAGGUCAAGCAAAUCCCAUAAAGUUGUUCUCAGUUCGGAUUGUAGUCUGCAACUCGACUACAUGAAGCUGGAAUCGCUAGUAAUCGUAGAUCAGCAUGCUACGGUGAAUACGUUCCCGGGUCU